CGACGACCAGGACUACGACGUCACGGAGGGCGAGGCGGAGGCGAUGCAGCGCGACGCGGCCGCGGCGCGCGCGAGCCCGGCCGCCCGCGCGCGCGCGCCCGCCGCCUGGCUGCUGGCGCUCGCGCCGCUCUUCCUCACGUGACGUCGCGCUGCUGUCGCUUCUGCCGGAACUGCCAACGUGACGUCACUUGAAAAGCUGUGCUGCGCAACUGCGUACGUCACACGGUCACGUGCACUGCGCUGCGCACUAUCUCUGUACAUAGCCUAUUUAUAGAAUGUAAAUAAAUGUCGGAUAGUACGCUGGUUGUUUCUCUUCAUAAAUUACUACGAUGUUUAGGUCGCCGCUUGCGAUUAUUGGCGCGGCGCUGGCACGAGCGCCGGUUUUACCGAACGAAUUAGAACGGUCGUGUUGUGUCCCGAUCUCAAUAUGUAGCAGCGCCUCUUUUAUUUAUAUUUAUAACGUAUAUUUUUGUGACAUUUACAACUAUAUUAUAAUGUUUGAAAUGUUAGUAUAUAUACAUGUAGCAGUUUUGAUAACAUCUAAAUUCAUAAGCGAGUAUUUUAGUGUUAGUUACGUUCGAUAAAACCGAGUCCCUCGUGAAAAUAGCGACAUAAAGUUGUGAAGUUCGCUAGUUUACUGCUAAUAGCGCGGUGUUCUCGGCACGUAUAAAGUAUUUAGUUAAAGAAAGUUAGAAACUAAUUCAAUAAUUUAGUUUGUUUAAAUUGGAUAGAUAAAAGUUAUAAAUCAUUCCGAUAACAU
rnacentral:misc_RNA from 1 species